rnacentral:misc_RNA from 1 species
UCAAACUUGGUCAUUUAGAGGAAGUAAAAGUCGUAACAAGGUUUCCGUAGGUGAACCUGCGGAAGGAUCAUUACUGUUGGGGCUUCCCCAUCAAGAUGUUAUCCUUUGCUUACUAGUACUUGCUGUUUCCUCGGCGGGCUUGCCCGCCAAUGGGGACUUAUUUAAACCUUUUGCAAUUGCAGUCUUUUCUGAAAAAAUAAUAAUAAAAUAUUACAACUUUCAACAACGGAUCUCUUGGUUCUGGCAUCGAUGAAGAACGCAGC